AUGCACAUGACGGCUGAAGGAGCCUCCAGUGAACUCGCACCUCACAGUCCCAGCUCCGAUGAGCACGUGGCUUUUUAUUCCACAGGGGGUUCACUUUUGGUAGAAUCAUUUUUUAAAUACAAAAAUGCACAGUCACUGCCCUUUAUCUGUGUGUUUUGCCUUGUGUCUCUUAAGAUGCAGGAGGUACGCAAAACAAACUUUGUGAAAUUUGUAACGAGCGAUCUGACAAAAGAGAGAAGUAUAUGUCCAAAGCAUGAGAUUUACAACCUUCCAAAUCUAUUAUUAUCCCCUUCAAAACUCUUUUUAAUGAGAAAGAGAUACAUUCAUUGGUAUUGGAACGUCGCUUGGAAAUCAAUCAGUACAGCAAGAGGAAUCAAAAGGAAGACGCCAAAUAAAAGCCUUUCUUUUUCCCUGAUAGCAGGAAGCACAGGAAGCUGGUUGUUGUCUGGGGCACAGUCCUAUUCCCCGGCUCCUGACAUCCUGCCUUGCUCCGCUGGGUAACCCUAGCAACUGGCCAUUGAGCGCGAGUUUUCCAUGCACACUGAACGGCCCAGAUAAAGGAGGCAAGCGUAAGCUUUCAUACUGGGAGAAACCCGCUUUCAUACUGGGAGAAGCCCGCUGCAAAAAGAUGACGUGCCAGCAGCCGAACCCCAGAGAGAGUGGAGCAAAGAGAAUCCCAGCUGGCCACUGCCCUGUCCCAGAGACACAGCCGUUCCCCCAGACAAGCUGAAUGGAGAGACCCUGCAAACGUCACAUUAGCAGACGAGCAAAACGGCACAGAAAGAAUGCCUCUCUGGCUCGAUAACAUCUUAAAAUAACACCUGUACUAUUCAGAGCACAGCUUCUUUUCAAAGCAAGCGAUGCGUGUCUUGUUCCAGGAUCUGUAUCCUGGGCCUCCUUUAGAAAGACAGCUGGAACAAAUACGAGAACUGUGUCAUAAAAAAAUAAAUACAUUGGAGCACUGCAGGCUUACAGUGUGUCCCCUGUAGAUUGCUCAUAACCAGGCAGCACUGCAGACAAAGAGAUAGCAUUGGCUAUGUAUAGAUGUUCCCACCUUCUAUCUAAACAUUGCUGGAAUUCUUCCUGUGGUCUCUUGGCCUGGCAGUUUUCCUUACGGGGAUUUCCAGCUCUGAUAAUUUGCUCAUGUGAGUGACUUCAGUUUCCAGUUUUUAUAUCUGAAACACAAAGGGUCAAGAAAGUUGCGAGAAAGAACGUGGCCCAGCCACACGGGAACACCUCAGCCUUUCAGAGUUGCGGUGUCCCACGCAAUGAGGAAUACAAGGAGAUCCACAUGUGAGAGACUAACCGCUGUCCUCAAUCUUUUUGGACAUGGAUUCAUGCUGCCUGGUGGCAUUUUGUUGUUCCCAGGGAAUAGAGGAUCCUGGAGGUCUGCUGGGGCUUGGUACAGCAUGAUAACAUCACUCAGCAUCUGAAACUAGCAACAAACACUGGCUGGGAGUGAAGGAGCCCCAGGCUCCCAGGCCUCCCUCUGGAGACAUGAGCUUGGCCUGUGGGGGCACAGAUUCAUCAUGUUGCUGCUGAGUCAGACUGACAUGACUAUUAGAGCCCAUCAACUUCCAAUUAGCACAGGCCCGUGGGGCUGCCGAGGUGAGCAGACAGAGCCAGGCCUGGCACAUUGUUACUAAGAGAGAAGGAAGCCAGGAGGGUGAUCAGGAGGAAGCUAGGAGGAAUGGAUCAACAGAUUGAGGACAGGACUGAAUCCUUCAGUCUGCAUGCAGGGAUUGCUGGCACAUGACUAACAGCAGGUUUUGCAUUACACGUAGAGAUGGAAAUAUGUUUUGGAGAGUUUGUGGUUGAUUAACAGCGGAGUAAUGACCUGUAUUGUUAAUGCACAGCUAUCCUAACUUUAAGUGAAUGGCUUCCCCUUUUUGAUAUUCACCCUUCAAUGCAUUGAUUGUUGUGAUUACCGGGCAUAAAUAACCUCAGCAGAAUAUUAUGGCUGGAAUGUCACAGAAUUCUCUCUUGCUGUUUCGAAUGGCUUGUGUGGAGGCACCCCAGAGAGCAAGGGCUCAGCACAGGGCGACAAAGUAUCACACUAUCCCGAAAUAUUCCAUGUGACUGGAAGGAGGCAAAGCCGACUGCACCGGAACAUGGGAGGAGGAAGGAGGAAGAGGGAAAGAGCCCUGCAGAUCCCAGGUACGCUGCAGAUUUACUGCUGAGCUGAGCUGCAACUGGAAGGAACUGACAUCUGACCUUUUCUUGACUCCAGUUGUCUUUUUCUAAAUCAGCGGCGCACUGCUCCAGGGGAAACAACCCCCCCACCCCAGCGCAUUGAUUGCUGGUCCCUGGAAGCCUGUUCUCAUUUACCAGGCAGUUUCAGGACGUCUCGGGGAGACAUCAAGCCGUGUCUGAUUGAAAGCAGUUGUGCUGCAUAGGCAGCAUUUCUCUUAAUGAACAAUCGAGUCUACAAUUCUGAUGCACAUUUGUAAUCAUUUAAAUUAGGCACACCACAAAGCCUAGUAUUGAAAUGCAUUGGACUCAUCUGUUUUUUUUUCUCCUUUUCCAAAGAAAAGCCUCAUAGAUCCAAAAGAAUUGAACUUUAAAAAAACAAAAUCUGUGUAGUUUUAAUUGUGGGAUUGUAGGACCUCUUCCACAGUAUAAAUGAGUCUGUGCAAAACUGUCUGCGCAAAU
rnacentral:lncRNA from 1 species